rnacentral:tRNA from 1 species
GUAGACAUAGUUUGAACAAAAACACUAGAUUGUGAUUCUAAAAAUAGGGGUUAAAGUCCCCUUGUCCACC